rnacentral:antisense_RNA from 1 species
CCCCGACGCAAGAUGGCUGUGUCGCGUCGGCCUCUAAACAAUGUGUGGAGCGCGCACCUCCUGCACCAGGGCCCGGUGGCUUGUCCUGCCCGCCCGUGGGGGCCGUGUGAUCUGUUUUCGGAAACCGAAAUAUUUAUUGUUGGAUUUAUCCAGGAAGGCUGUUCUGCAUUAGUUAAAUGCAUCAUAUCUUCAAGAAAUGUUAAAUGACAUGGGUAAUGUUCUCUUUGUAUGCUGGAUUUUUCAAUAGCUUCUACUUCUUGGCUUUAAAAAUAUUUCUAACCAAGGGUCAGACCAUGUUAGGUAGAGUAGUUAUGAUCUUAGAUGAUUUGAAGUAACUCAGCUGUCCAUUUGUGAAAUGGGAAUAAUAAUAUUUAUCUCUAUGAAGUUAGGCCACAAAUUCUUUCCAGUAGGUUCAAGUAUUUAAGCACCUGGAGAGGUGACUGGUUACCCUCCUAGUGGCUUCAGGAAGUUUUCUCACUGAAUGA